CAGAAAAAAAAAAAAAAAAAAAAAAGCAAAACAGAAGUUGCCAUCUCGUCCUGUGCUCCAGCUGUCUCAUUUUACCUUCUGAAAUGAUGGAGGAAGUUCUGCUGAGGAUGGGGUCAGGGUAACAGCAGACUUCUGAAUAACUCUGCACCCCCAGAAACCUGCAAAGGACACAGGCCCUCUUGGUGGUCUCCUCCUGGAUACCUUGCUUUCUCCUGGAAGAGCCCUCCCUUCCACCCCGGAUAUCACUGUGAACCUGAUUCCCCAGGAUCAACCAUCUGAGCAGAUACCUUAGAAUGUCCCCAGAUUUCAGAGGGAGAAAAAAGGCUUCGGGUGCUGCCAGAAGAGAAGAGGCCAUCAUCUCCUGACUAACCAGCCUGUGCACGGCAGAGCCUGAGUUCCACAGCCAGCCUGGCAGGGCCACCAUGUAACAGUCCAGGGUCAAGUUGCAUUUUGCUUUUGGUGUAUAAAAUGCAAGAACUGGAGAAAUCAUGUAAAAAGUCAGGAGGAGCCUCGGACCAGCAGCAACACACUCUGAAGUAGGUCUCAGAAGACAAAAAGCUGAAAUCAACUCAUGCUUCCUGCUACACAGAAUCCACUGAGAGGAAAAGGAAAUUUUACCCAAACUUCAGAAAGCUACAGAAAUGACACCCAUUUUCACAAUCCCAGAAGGAAAGUUGCAUCUGAGGGGAAUAAAAACAGAGCAAUGGAAGAGUAUUUGUUAAAAUAAAUGGCUUUCACAGGGCAUUUUCUCUAAAAGUC